UGCCUCAGUAACGGCGAGUGAAGCGGCAACAGCUCAAAUUUGAAAUCUGGCCCCAGGCCCGAGUUGUAAUUUGCAGAGGAUGCUUUUGGCGAGGUGCCUUCCGAGUUCCCUGGAACGGGACGCCAUAGAGGGUGAGAGCCCCGUCUGGUCGGACACCGAGCCUCUGUAAAGCUCCUUCGACGAGUCGAGUAGUUUGGGAAUGCUGCUCUAAAUGGGAGGUAUAUGUCUUCUAAAGCUAAAUACCGGCCAGAGACCGAUAGCGCACAAGUAGAGUGAUCGAAAGAUGAAAAGCACUUUGAAAAGAGAGUUAAAUAGCACGUGAAAUUGUUGAAAGGGAAGCGUUUAUGACCAGACUUGGCCCGGUUGAUCAUCCAGCGUUCUCGCUGGUGCACUCUGCCGGUCCAGGCCAGCAUCAGUUCGUCGCGGGGGAUAAAGGUUUCGGGAAUGUGGCUCCUCCGGGAGUGUUAUAGCCCGUUGCGUAAUACCCUGCGGUGGACUGAGGUCCGCGCUUCUGCAAGGAUGCUGGCGUAAUGGUCAUCAACG
rnacentral:rRNA from 1 species